AUUGAACGCUGGCGGCAUGCUUUACACAUGCAAGUCGAACGGUAACAGGUUAAGCUGACGAGUGGCGAACGGGUGAGUAAUGCAUCGGAACGUGCCCGGUCGUGGGGGAUAACGCAGCGAAAGCUGCGCUAAUACCGCAUGCGAUCUGAGGAGGAAAGCGGGGGACCGUAAGGCCUCGCGCGAUCGGAGCGGCCGAUGUCAGAUUAGGUAGUUGGUGGGGUAAAGGCUCACCAAGCCGACGAUCUGUAGCUGGUCUGAGAGGACGACCAGCCACACUGGGACUGAGCCACGGCCCAGACUCCUACGGGAGGCAGCAGUGGGGAAUUUUGGACAAUGGGCGCAAGCCUGAUCCAGCAAUGCCGCGUGCAGGAAGAAGGCCUUCGGGUUGUAAACUGCUUUUGUACGGAGCGAAAAGGCUCUCUCUAAUACAGGGGGCUCAUGACGGUACCGUAAGAAUAAGCACCGGCUAACUACGUGCCAGCCGCCGCGGUAA
rnacentral:rRNA from 1 species